GCUCCCACGGUGCAGCUGCGGGCUGAAGGGCUCCUCAAGCGCGGCCAGAGUGGGCUGAGGCCGAGGAGGCGCCGAGAGCCAGCGAGGGAUGCCAGCAAGCUGUCACCUCUCAGAAAUACAGGAAGAACAUCAAUAAUGUUCGAAGUUAUAAAGUAGUAGGUUUCUAUCAAGAGUAAAACAUAAACGAAGUUAUAAAGUAGUAGGUUUCUAUCAAGAAUAAAACAUAAACGAUCAAAGAAUUCCUUAUAAAAACAUUUUUUAUUUCUAGGAAUCAAAACAUAAAUAUAAAAUUUGAGAGUCCACCAAAAAAAAUUAGAUGCCAGAUUUCACUAUAAUUAUCAGGGAAGCGCCCAAAUGGGUUGUUUACGGCGCCUCGGGGAAACUUUCUGUUUCGUGUUAAGGGUCUUGAACCAUGAUGUUUAGAAAACCAUGGGCUGAUGCUUUCAGAACCUCUGUGAUUUUUGCCUCUGACACUGCAUCCAAUAGACUAGCAUGUUGAUUAGGGAAAGCUAAAUUCAAUAAAAGACGACUGUAAGUGGGGUCACCACCUUGAGGGGUCAUGUUAGAAAAGUAGAUGAUAAGGUGGUAUUGAUAGAGUAUUGAAGUCUGGGCUCAGAUGGUUGCCCGGGGCCUUUCAAGACCAAUGACUGAUAAGAAUAGGUAAUGUUCAGGACAUAGAGUUUAGGAUUGGGGGACACUGUGAGUUAAGGGCCAUGACAGAAGUCUUCAUAAGUAAACUGUUAAUUGACACAAGCUGCUACCUGCCCAGGUGAGCAAUCUGUUGGCCCAGAGGAGAGUUGCUUACUGACAUAAAUUGAUUUGCAGAAAUUUCCUGAAGCAAACAAUAAGUUAUUUAUUGGUUUGCAGCCUUACUUUCCUGAAAAAUAAUUUUCUGGAAUGAAUUGUGAAAUCAUGUUGACACAGAUGGCCUCAGGUUUCAGUUCGGAUAAUUAAGCUGUGUAAAUAUAGAAAGUCGAAGGUUUCUGGGUGCUGUUGAUUCACAGUAUGCAACAAUGAUCAUAUUACUUUUAUUUACUAUGAGCUUCAGCUGAAAAUCCAAAAGAAACUUUAAUUUCAGAUAUUUAAUGAAAUCAUUAUAGCUGUGGUAAUUUCCUUUAGCUGGGUGUGAGUGUGUGAUGUGAGCGUGUGAUGUGUGUGUGUGUGUGUGUGUGUGUGUGUACUCUGGCAGCAUAUUCCAAAUAAUUUCUGUUAAAUUCACAAUUGCAUAAUUUUUUUCAGGCUGGAAUGCACUUGGAUGCCAG
rnacentral:lncRNA from 1 species